CUUCCCAUGAUAGGUCAGCGGUCUCUCUUUCUCUGGUAGCCAUCUUGGAUUUUGGAAAAAGUGAAGCAGUGUUGUAGGGAAACUUCUUAUAUAGCCAUAAAUCUUAGAAAAGAUGAUAAUUCCAUCUCUUCGAGCACUCAGAGUUCGUGGCCCGAGCCUUGUACGACGAAUGGCAAGCAAUCCAACGGCUGAAGAUCUUGGAUUGAAAGGCAUGCAAGUUUACUUCAAUGCUUAUACUACUGUGGGAAGACGAAACAUUGUAGUUGCCACAUAUGGAGUGUUUUUUGGUCUUAUAUUCCUGUACAAAUCCAGGAAAUCAAAGACACCUGAAGAAAAAUCUGCUUGAUUUGAAUGUCAUUUAUCUGGAUAAUGUGUGAAGUGUUUACUGGUACUGUUGUACUUACAUUGGGAGUUGUUCAAUAUUGAAAUGAUUUUAUCAAAUAAUAAAACACUGUUUAUAGUA